CGAGGACUGCUGCGAGGCCGGGAUAUUUCAAUGUCCUUCCAGAUAUUUGACGUUGACCGUGGUGCUGAAAGAAAAUUAAGGCCUAGCAGCACAGCAUGAAGACAGAAACCCUCUGCAUGGAUAGUCAGGGAUAUUGCUGCCAUCACAUGGAUAUGAUCUCACUGAGAAUGAAACUAACGUAGAAGAAAGCAAAGAUAAGAGAGGGGAGAGCAAGCGCACAAGAGGUUGAACUAGGUUUCCUGAUGCUUGUCUGCAAAAGAUUAUUCACUGAUAUCGAGAGAGAUGUUACUUGUUGAAGUAAAGAGUGAAGAUUUGUUCUACAUCCUAUUCUCUUACCUCCUGUGCUGCACUGAAGGAAGGAGCAGAGCUGAAAAUGAACUUGAUAAAAUACACAAGAUUAAAAUUAUUAUACAAAAAUAAAAUAGAUUUGAGAACCAGAGCAAUGUCCAAUGCUUGUGAUGAAUCUUAGAUAAAUAAUGGCUGCUAGACAAAUAAAAAGGACAAUAUUCUGAAAGAAAAAUAAAUGAAGUCUAUUAUUCUACACCUUGAAUCUAGGCUUGCUCUACAUGACUACAAGUUCUGAUUCCCAGAUGUAAAAUGUUUCCACCAUGGAACGAACAAGAGUGCCAAUGAAGUUCAAGCUAUGGAUGUCACCUACUCUCUUCAGGCUCCUUUGCUAAGGCC
rnacentral:lncRNA from 1 species